GUCUGCCUCCAUCUUUCGUCUCUCUUUUUCUAAAAAACUAUGUUGUUAUUUUUUUAUAAUAAUAAUAGCCUGCCAUGUUUUAAGUAUGGUAACUCCCGAUCACCGCUACCCAUUCCGAUUGAUCUGAGUCCCAUAACGCAUGUCAGGGCUCUGCCCGACUAAGUUCGUUAGGAUUCUGUCUCGGGACUUCAGGACAAGGUUGAAUUAGGGGUACUAUACUUAACACGAGUGCAAUAUAUAUUUUAAUAGCCCAAAAGUUAUACCCAAAAUUUAUACCAGGAGAUUUUCUAGUUAAACCCUAAAGUUACACAGUGGGUCCAUUCUCUUUUCUCACUGUUUUAUUCUCUUUUUACCCAAAACUAUUAUUUAUUAUUUUAUUUUGAAAACAACUUUUAUCAAAAGUCAUAUCUAUUAUUUUUACCCAAUAGGAAACCCUAGUUGAGACACCCAAGUAGUUCUGCACAAACUCUAAAAUUUUCAUAACAAUCAGAAUCAGGAUCAGGAUCAGGGCCCCUAAAACUCAAGGGAGGUAUUUCCUACUCAACGAUUAUCCAAAUAAAAAGCUGUCUAAAUUGAAUUUCGAGAUUCCAUCGACUUAUCAAGGCUAGUCCCACACGCGGCAAGCCUAUAGUAAUUAGGUGUCCCUUACGGACCGUAAGGGAUAAUGCUUACGGUCCGUAAGCAUGUCCAAAUUCGUGUAUAAAUAGCAGACUUUGGGACUGGAAAUUGGGCGAUAGAACGACGUUCAAAUUCAUUUCCUACGUCGAGUUAUUUGCUGUUCACUUCACAACACACACAAAAUCAAUAAUUAGUAGAGAGGGGUGCUGCUACGAUACAGGGUAUUAACUCGAUCGCUAUUACGAUUCAUUUUCCGACCGAUCAAUAUAUCCAAUGGAUGUUUAAGUGCCACCCACAUUAGGGUUAUACUUUGUCGUUCGUCGUUAAUUCGAUGGAUAUUUAAGUAUCGCACUUUGUCGUUCAUCGUUAAAUCGAUGGAUGUUUAAGUAUCGCACUUUGUCGUUCGUUGUGAGAAUUUGAUCUCGUGAGUUAUCGUAAUUGUUGUAUUAAGUUACCUACCUAGUUCGUAUGCACUAGGUUACAAGGCUAAAGCAAUAGGCUAAGCUCUGCCUGUGUAAAUCUACAGUAUAUCAAGGCUUAUCUAUAGACUAAACUUUGGUCGUAUGAAUCUGCAUAAUUAUAAUGUAAUUACAGUAGAUUGGAGUAAGGAUUGGAUCCGACACUAAAAGACUUCAAGAAGUGGCUUAUUGUAUUAAUUAAAUCAAAUUAAGAAAUAUUGUUUUUAUUAAAAGCUACCUUUGUAAAAAUGGAAUUUAUUCCAUCUAUUAAAUAAAAUCCGGUGUUUCUAAACUCUGAUAUUU
rnacentral:lncRNA from 1 species